GGCCGGUUAGCUCAGCUGGCUAGAGCGUGGUGCUAAUAACGCCAAGGUCCUGGGUUCGAUCCCCAUACUGGCCA
rnacentral:tRNA from 1 species